rnacentral:rRNA from 1 species
CGAGUGGGGAAUAACCUAGGGAAACCUGGGCUAAUACCGCAUAACACUUACGAGUCAAAGCAGCAAUGCGCUUGAGGAGGGGGUCGCGGCAGAUUAGCUAGUUGGUGAGGUAAUGGCUCACCAAGGCAGUGAUCUGUAUCCGGCCUGAGAGGGCGCACGGACACACUGGAACUGAAACACGGUCCAGACUCCUACGGGAGGCAGCAGUGGGGAAUUUUGCGCAAUGGGGGAAACCCUGACGCAGCAACGCCGCGUGGAGGAUGAAAUCCCUUGGGAUGUAAACUCCUUUCGAUCGGGAAGAUAAUGACGGUACCGAGAGAAGAAGCCCCGGCUAACUUCGUGCCAGCAGCCGCGGUAAUACGAGGGGGGCAAGCGUUGUUCGGAAUUAUUGGGCGUAAAGGGUGCGUAGGCGGUUUGAUAAGUUUGGUGUGAAAUCUCUGGGCUCAACCCAGAGUCUGCACCGAAAACUGUCGGGCUUGAGUAUGGGAGAGGUGAGUGGAAUUUCCGGUGUAGCGGUGAAAUGCGUAGAUAUCGGAAGGAACACCUGUGGCGAAAGCGGCUCACUGGA